rnacentral:rRNA from 1 species
CUUCGGGUUUAAGUUUCCUUUCUUGAUCUGAGUCUUACUUAGCACAUUCCAUAGCCUAUCUAGUCUGUUAUGAUGGCUUAGCUUCGUCCAUAAUUCACCAUACCAUCGAACCCACCCGUACUGAGCCGAUAUGACCUGAUACCGAGUUCCGGGUGCGUUUCCUGAAUCACUCGAGAUUUUGAUCAAUUUCUUUGGCCUAAAGUCUUAUUUUAAUCCUUAUUUGACUUGGCCCAGUCAUCCUCCUUCAUCUGAGCACUAUGAAUUUCUUCCUUCUCUUGGUACAGCCCGUUUGCAAUCUCUCGGGCUAAGUAGUGGUGUUCUUCGUUUCCUCGAGCCUUCUUGCUUCUUCCUGACCAAUAUCAGCCUUCAUAUUCUAAAGAAAAUAUUGCCCAGCUCCCCUGGCAAUAAAAUAAUUUUAUUUCCUUCAGUCCACCCGAUUUGCUCUUUUGGUACCACUGUUGCUUCCUUGAAUUCUUAUUCGUACCAAACAAAUUUUUCUUCGACCGAUUCUUCUUCCAUUGUAUUCAGCACGUCCUAAGCUUUCUCUGAGCCAAAGCUCAGAAUUUUUAAAAUUUUCCCUGAUGGCUUCCUUCAUUAUAAAUUCUAGGCCUUCGACGGGGUUAUUACAGUCGGGGGCAUUCGUAUUUCAUAGUCAGAGGUGAAAUUCUUGGAUUUAUGAAAGACGAACAACUGCAAAAGAAUUUGCCACAGAUCUUUUUAUUAAUCAAGAACAAAGGUUAAGGGGCUUGAAGACGAUCAGAUACUGUCCUAGUCGCAACCAUAAACGAUGCCGAUCAGGGAUCAGGAUGUUGCUAUUAGGACUCCGCUGAGACCUUAUGAGAAAUCAAAGUUUUUGGGUUCCAGGGGGAGUAUGGUUGCAAGGCUGAAACUUAAAGGAAUUGACGGAAGGGCACCACCAGAAGUGGAGCAUGUGGCUUAAUUUGACUUAACACGGGGAAACUUACCAGGUCCAGACAUAGUAAGGAUUGACAGACUAAGAGCUCUUUCUUGAUUCUAUAGGUUGUGGUGCAUGGCCGUUAUUAGUUAGUGGAGCAAUUUGUCUGGUUAAUUCCGUUAACGAACGAGACCUCAGCCUGCUAAUUAGCUUCGUGGAGGAAUCCCUCCACAGCCGGUUUCUUAGAGGGAAUAUAGCCAUUUAGGUAAAGGAAGUUUGAGGCAAUAACAAGUCUGUGAUGCCCUUAGAUGUUCUAGGCCACAUGCGCGCUACACUUAUGUAUUCAAUGAGUUCACACCUUGGCCGAUAGGCCUGUGUAAUCUUUGAAAUUUCAUUGUGAUAGGGAUAGAUCAUUGCAAUUGUUGGUCUUUAACGAGGAAUUCCUAGUAAGCGCAAGUUAUCAGCUCGCGUUGACUAUGUCCAUGUCCUUUGUACACACCGCCCGUCGCUCCUACCAAUUGAAUGAUCCGGUGAAGUGUUCGGAUCGAGGCGACGUAGGUGGUUCGCGGUCUGCGACGUCGCGAUAAGUCCACUAAAC